rnacentral:rRNA from 1 species
CUCAGAACGAACGCUGGCGGCAUGCCUAACACAUGCAAGUCGAACGAAGGCUUCGGCCUUAGUGGCGCACGGGUGCGUAACGCGUGGGAAUCUGCCCUUAGGUUCGGAAUAACAGCUGGAAACGGCUGCUAAUACCGGAUGAUAUCGCGAGAUCAAAGAUUUAUCGCCUGAGGAUGAGCCCGCGUUGGAUUAGGUAGUUGGUGGGGUAAAGGCCUACCAAGCCGACGAUCCAUAGCUGGUCUGAGAGGAUGAUCAGCCACACUGGGACUGAGACACGGCCCAGACUCCUACGGGAGGCAGCAAAAGGG